UACGGAGGGAGCUAGCGUUGUUCGGAAUUACUGGGCGUAAAACGCGCGUAGGCGGCUUUGUAAGUUAGAGGUGAAAGCCCGGAGCUCAACUCCGGAACUGCCUUUAAAACUGCAUCGCUUGAAUCCAGGAGAGGUGAGUGGAAUUCCGAGUGUAGAGGUGAAAUUCGUAGAUAUUCGGAAGAACACCAGUGGCGAAGGCGGCUCACUGGACUGGUAUUGACGCUGAGGUGCGAAAGCGUGGGGAGCAAACAGG
rnacentral:rRNA from 1 species